rnacentral:lncRNA from 1 species
GUGGAAACCACCAACCAAUUGGAAGGUGACUAGGGUGAAUAUAGCCCAAGGAACUUGCAAAACUCUUUGGAGGGCCAAGGAGUAAAGGACUUCAUUCAGGGUGUGACAUGGUGGGCCACACCCAUCAACAGAAUCUCAGCCAGGGCUUCAGAACUAAUGUAAAAAGUGAAAAAAUCUUAUAACUCAGUUACAAAGACUUAGUUUUACUGCUAAUAAUGAACGUGGAACUUAUAGUCCUUUGCCUUCUACUCUGUCCAAAUCUGAUGAGUUAUUUUAGCCUAGAAAGUUCCAUAAAAUGUAUACCACCAAAAAGAAAAAUUCUGACUGCAGGGAAGCAGUACACUCUGUAGACCCCGGAGAAAAAUAAAUCACCAUGAGAUUUGACAACAAUCAAUUUUUCACUGCACGCUAAUCAAGCAGAUAGAAAGAAGGCCAUGCCUAGAUGCCAGUGUGAAGAAGAGACAGAGCAGAGACACGAACAACAUGUAAAUUCUCCUUGCUGCCACCAUGUGACGAAGGACACGUUUGCUUCCCCUUCCACCAUGAUUGCAAGUUUUCUGAGGCCUCCCCAGCCAUGCUGAACUGUGAGUCACUUAAACCUCUUUCCUUUAUAAAUUACCCAGUCUCGGAUGUGUCUUCAUUAGCAGCUUGAGAACAGAUUGAUACAAAAAAAAAGAACUAGAAACUGAUGUUAUUAAUAUGCAAUGUAAUGGAGUCUUAAAACCAAGUAGGCCAGCAUUUAUAGUACAUUUUUACACGUAUGUCUAGAAUAGUUACCUUAAACACACAUGCACACAGAUGGAUAACAUCUGUAUUUGCAA